UAGGGAAACAAGCAAUACAAAUUAAAAG
rnacentral:piRNA from 1 species